AGGCUGUGAAAACACUUCAGGCCAGUCCCUGAGUAGGAAUGGACAACAAGGUGGUCACCAUGCUGACAGCUAUUCCCUGUGUGAUUUACUUUAUUAUGAAGUCUAAAUUUGAUGCUGAAGUGCUAGCCUAAGCUCACUAACCUGCCAACUUAGAGAAGAAGGUAACCAUGGCUAGGAUGACUGGGAAUCUGAUGGACUCAAUUAAGAAUUUCUACAGAUGGGAAAACCAAAACUCCUUAGUGGCAAGAGGCCAAAGAUGGUCAGCGAAUUGUUGUUUCCGGCUGGUCUAAGAUCAGCCCUACUGACUUUGUCACGGUGGAAGUUGACUGCAGUUGAAUAACAGAACAAAAACGGAGCUUCAAAAUCAUGGCGUGCCUGCUUCUUCUGGGUUCUUUUAACUGCAAGCAAUCAGCUUUGAAGAGCACGUAGGGAACUUCUGAUGUGAUACAAACUUUUGUCUUUUUUUUUUUUUUUGUCUUUUAAGAGCAUUCAAAAACACUCAAGAAUAACAUUUACAUAUGAAAGAAAAUAGGAGAUGGCUCAGAAUAAUAUGUCCAAGGCCACGCCCAGGCGUCAGGGAUUCAUGAAUUUUGUAUACAGUGUAUGAUGUUUCUAGAUUAAAAUAUUUUCAAAGGUAAC
rnacentral:lncRNA from 1 species